UUUGUUUGUGUAAUAGUUUUAUUACCCUUUACCAACGGGUGGGAAUACACAUUACAGAAGCAGCAGCAACUUUAAUUACAAGCAAAAGUUGUUUGUAUCUCCAAAUGAUAUGUUUUGGUAUCAGCAAAAAAUUUAACCAUAUAUAUUAGCUUUCAAAUAGUUAUGCUGAAUAUUUAAGUUCAUUAAAGAUAUGGCUUUACAGGUGAUAUGUUUUAAACCAAACAAUGCAGCAAAACACAAUUUUUUAAAAAGUAUACAACAACCAAAGAAUAAUUUUUAUUAAGCUUGCCAAAUUUCUUGCUUUGGUGUUUCCUAGUUCUACUCAGUACACACUAUGUAUUUUAUCUGAGUCAUUCCCAGCUCAAACCACAGGAGUCACAUUAGCUAAUCCAGACUCUGCUUUUAAGAUUGUGAGGUGAUAGUCCUAUGACUGGGUAUGGCAGCACACGGCUGUAAAAACCAGUUAUGGGGGCAGCUAAGGAAGAGUUACAAAUUGGUGUCCAGCUUGGGCAAGGCUCUGCCUCAAAAAAAAAAAAAAAAAAAAAAAAAAAAAAAAAAAAAAGGCAGGGGCUUGUGGGAUAUAACUCAGUAGUGGAACACUUGGUUAGCAUGAGAGGCCGUAUGCUCGUCCUUAUACUGCCCUCACCACCAAAGUUAGAUGAACUCAGCAGCACCCAUGUAAGACAUCUGGAAACACCACUGCUGCUUAUGAUGGUAACACUGCUUUAAUAACUGAGUAGUCACAUUAGAAAUUGACUAGAUACAGAAGAAUUGCUGGCUCUUGUCCCUAAUGGAAUGGGACAGAAGAUAUUUCAGCUUAGUUUUUGUUUUUUUUGCUGCACGGCAUCUACUUACAUAGGAAACUUUAUUCUCUAUUUUAAAAUUCAGAACAAGGUGGUGAUUUGAUACAAUGACUUAAAUAAAAGUAGCACCAGAAGGACCAGGUACCAAUAGCAACAUAUUUCACCCAUUCAGGGAUUUUAUUAUAUAAAAUUAUUGCACUUCUAAUGUAGAAAGGAAAUAACAGUAAUUACUAAAUUCAAUAAUUUUUACUAGGUGGUGAAAUUUGAAAUAAUUUCAAAAUAAUUCUGAGGUUUCCUCUAAAGGUACUGCCUAAGAGGAUGCAGUCUAUCUCUUUAGUUUAGAAGGCAGGAACAGAGGGCUGAAUUCCAUUUCUAAGCAACAUCUGCAUUAUAAGAGAGGCUGUUUUACACGGUGGUACGAAUUUGGUCCACUUCAAAUACAUUGUUGUUAUAAAAAUAAACAAGAUUUUAUAAAAAAUAACAUUGCAUUCCUUGUUCAAAUUGCACAGUACAAAUAAGCUAUCUAAAUUAAUACUGUUAUUAAUAAUUAGAAUUACAUGUGGUAGGUAUGUGUUUAGUCUGAAGCAACUGAAUAUGUAGUUCUGCUUUCAUAAUGUAUGAAAACUAAAAUUUAAGUCACAUCUAGAAAUACAUAAAAUAUUUUUAAACUUUAUAAUAAAGAAUUUACAAAGUAAUUUUUAGUAGCUGAUAAUACAGGAUCCCACAGUCUAUUUACAUAAAAGCCCAUUUUUAUUCAAUUUACAAAAGCAAUAAAUAAGAAACUCC
ensembl:lncRNA